AGGGCACCACCAGGAGUGGAGCCUGCGGCUUAAUUUGACUCAACACGGGAAAACUUACCCGGCCCGGACACUGGAAGGAUUGACAGAUUGAGAGCUCUUUCUUGAUUCAGUGGGUGGUGGUGCAUGGCCGUUCUUAGUUGGUGGAGUGAUUUGUCUGGUUAAUUCCGAUAACGAACGAGACUCUAGCCUACUAAAUAGAUCGUCGGCUUACAAACGCCGGCGAGACUUCUUAGAGGGACAGGCGGUGAUUCAACCGCACGAAACAGAGCAAUAACAGGUCUGUGAUGCCCUUAGAUGUCCGGGGCCGCACGCGCGCUACACUGAAGUGAUCAGCGUGCUUUUUCAACCUACUCUGUCAAGAGUGGGGAACCCAAUGAACCUUCUUCGUGAUUGGGAUAGGGGAUUGUAAUUAUUCCCCUUGAACGAGGAAUUCCCAGUAAGCGCGAGUCAUAAGCUCGCGUUGAUUACGUCCCUGCCCUUUGUACACACCGCCCGUCGCUACUACCGAUUGAAUGUUUU
rnacentral:rRNA from 1 species